rnacentral:rRNA from 1 species
CGCAUGGACGAAGUCUGACGGAGCAACGCCGCGUGAGUGAUGAAGGUUUUCGGAUCGUAAAACUCUGUUGUUAGGGAAGAACAAGUACCGUUCGAAUAGGGCGGUACCUUGACGGUACCUAACCAGAAAGCCACGGCUAACUACGUGCCAGCAGCCGCGGUAAUACGUAGGUGGCAAGCGUUGUCCGGAAUUAUUGGGCGUAAAGCGCGCGCAGGCGGUUUCUUAAGUCUGAUGUGAAAGCCCCCGGCUCAACCGGGGAGGGUCAUUGGAAACUGGGGAACUUGAGUGCAGAAGAGGAGAGUGGAAUUCCACGUGUAGCGGUGAAAUGCGUAGAGAUGUGGAGGAACACCAGUGGCGAAGGCGACUCUCUGGUCUGUAACUGACGCUGAGGCGCGAAAGCGUGGGGAGCGAACAGGAUUAGAUACCCUGGUAGUCCACGCCGUAAACGAUGAGUGCUAAGUGUUAGAGGGUUUCCGCCCUUUAGUGCUGCAGCAAACGCAUUAAGCACUCCGCCUGGGGAGUACGGUCGCAAGACUGAAACUCAAAGGAAUUGACGGGGGCCCGCACAAGCGGUGGAGCAUGUGGUUUAAUUCGAAGCAACGCGAAGAACCUUACCAGGUCUUGACAUCCUCUGACAACCCUAGAGAUAGGGCUUCCCCUUCGGGGGCAGAGUGACAGGUGGUGCAUGGUUGUCGUCAGCUCGUGUCGUGAGAUGUUGGGUUAAGUCCCGCAACGAGCGCAACCCUUGAUCUUAGUUGCCAGCAUUCAGUUGGGGCACUCUAAGGUGACUGCCGGUGACAAACCGGAGGAAGGUGGGGGAUGACGUCAAAUCAUCAUGCCCCUUAUGACCUGGGGCUACACACGUGCUACAAUGGGGCAGAACAAAGGGCAGCGAAGCCGCGAGCUAAGCCAAUCCACAAUCUGGUUCUCAGGUUCGGAUCGCCAGUCUGCAACUCGACUGCCGUGAAGGCUGGAAUCGCUAGUAAUCGCGGAUCAGCAUGCCGCGAUGGAAUACGUUUCCCGGGCCUUGGUACACACCGCUCCGUCCCACCACGAGAGGUUGGUACAACCCGAGUCCGUGAGGUAACCUUAGAAGCCGCCCCCAAGGGUGGAACAGAGAAUGGAGGGUGAA